UUCUUUUUUAAAGGGAACGACGGACUAAUAAAACACUCAGGAUUGGGUUUAAAUUAAAAACUAAGACAACCGCCACUUCGACAACGUAAUUCUGAUUAAAGAAGAGCUACAGAAAACGGAGAGGAACAAUUUCAAACGCUCAAACCUCAAUAUGAUCCGCGGAUCUUCAUCGAAGGGAUUUGUCCGCACCUGCUCCUCUCUGGUGUUCACAUUGACGUUGGAAAGCUCCGUUGGGUGAGAUGAGUUUUGAAUGGUGUCACUGUCACUGCUUGGGAAUGACACUUGGACAUCACAGGAGCCACAGCUGGAGAUGAGGCACGAAACAAAUCCUCUCGUCUCAUUUGCGGCCGCCUCGUGGAAGCUGGGCCAGAGACGCUCAGGCACCUGUUGCAGCAGAGCGAGGACAGUGCACUGCACACGGCAGACGAGGCAUAACUGAAACGCCUGUUUACACGAAAUCCAGUUGUCGGGUGCGAGUGCCGCAACCGGGCGGAGUUGCAUUACAGUACAGACAAGAGCACAGGGAGCAUAGAGGAUAGGAAGUUGCGGCGGCACUGGCAGGCGGGACUCUCAGGAUGCAGCAGGUUCAAUCAGGGUUCUCACCACCUGUCACACGGUUGUCACUUUUUUUCUUUCCUCGGUAUUGUCAGAUAAGACAGAAAUAUCUUAAAAACAUAAAUCCAGUUGUCGUUUAACGGCACAGCAAGGUUUCUCACCGUGCUUCUUCUUCCAAAAAUACAAUUUGCUUGAGAUAGCAUUUAAUUUGCACAAAUAUCUUUCAAAUUAGGACACAGAUCUUAUUACGGAUUGUGUCAUUGAUGAUUCAUGAGGCAAAAAACAGUUUAGGCCUACACGUACGAUGUGUUUGCAUAUGAAUGUAGUUGCAGUGUCUUUUAAACUUUAUAAACAGAAGAAAUAUUGAUAAAUCCAUAGAAUUCGACCAAUGUAUGUUUGGAUGAGUAACAUACUUGUCUUUUUUUGCAAUAACAAAAUCCUUUCUACUGACUGUAUGUUUUCAAUUUGGAUUUGGGAAUUCAACUCAAACCUUUUGAGAGUCAAAAUUGAGGACAAAGAGCUCUUUACAGCUUCAUGGAAUUCAGCCACAAUGAAAUCAUCCAUUAGUUAUGUCCGUACACAUUUACUACAUAGUCAAAACGUCUUUAUGUGGAAAACGGGCCUGCUGACCUUGGAACAUCAAAAACCAUUGAAGGUUCCCUUUCUAGUAUUUCCCUGAUGUUUCAACCAUGUUUCACGGUCUCUUCUUUUGCUCUGAAAACGGUUAAAAGCUCCAGAAACAACUCGGGAGUAUGUCUUCUUUUUAUUGUCUAGCGUUCGUCUCCAAGAUUAUGAUUUGAACAUUCACACGAUAGAGUCACGUGACCAAAGAUUUUCUUGAGAUUCGUGGGAAUAAAGGCCUCUUACUUCGUAACGCUGCAUUAUAUUCAGUCAUUCUAAUGUAAUAUUACGGCAUUGCUGCUUUACUUUGCCGUUGCUCAACUACCUGCUUUGUCCUUUUUUGCAGUGAAUACAAUUUUUUGAAUGCAUAAAACCAAGCUCCUAUAAAUAGUGAAACCAUA